GAGGCCUAAGGGUUACUGUUGCAAUGCAUCAGGUCGAUAUACCUAUACAACAAAGCGAUAUGUGGUAUGGUUCAAGCAUUGGAGACAAGGACCCAUAGGCCUCUGGCACAUACAUAUUUCGACCAAAUGGUGCUCCUCAAACAGCUGCUUCAAGAUCGGUACCCUUGAAGAUUGUGCGAGGACCUCUAGUUGAUGAAGUUCAUCAACAAUUCAAUCUAUAGAUUUAUCAGGUUCUCUACCUUUUAUUCACCUAUCAAAUGGCCAUUUCAUCAAGAUUAAUUUAUAAUGUAGCUUAAUAGGAUUCUUUAUUCAAAAACAUCUCUAGUGUUUCAGAGUCACUAAAAUUUAUCUCUUUCAAUUUAAAUAAUUUAGAAAUCAAUUCAUUAUAUUGUUCCUUUAGAGACCUCUAAACCCGAAAUGAUGGUGAAUAGAAACAUUUAACACAAUCAUUUCUUUGAGUCCCAAGUCAAUGCAUAAUAUGAUGGAAGAAUCAACUAAGUAAUUAUACAUAUAGCAGUAAGGGAUGCAAGAGAAUAUGCAGUAGAGCCACCUUCAAAACAUAUAGGACCAUGAAAAUAUAUUAUAAGAUAUUAGGACUUUUGAUGAGACUACAACGGAAUAAAUAUAGAUAUAGUAAUGUUUUUCAAUCAUUGUUUCUCAUGGUUUGUUUUUCAAAUGUUUGCAACUUUCUUUGAUACACUGGUCAUGUUGAAUUGUGUUGGAAGAUAUCAACAGUGAUAUAGAACUGAGAGAUGUUUGCUUUAGCUACCCUACAAGACCUGACAUUCAUGUAUUUUCUGGGUUCUCAUUGCAUGUUCCAAGCGGCAUAACUGUGGAUCUAGUUGGAGAGAGCGACAGUGGGAAGUCGAUAGUGAUUAGCCUAUUGGAGAGGUUCUAUGACCCCCAAGCUAGUGAAGUGCUCAUAGAUGACAUCAACUUGAAGAAGUUGCAGCUUGUUAGCCAAGAGCUCAUCUUAUUCACAACUACUAUAAAGGAGAAUAUCGCAUAUGGUAAGGCGGGUACUACAUUGGAAGAAAUUAGAACAGUAACUGAGAUUGCUAAUGCUGAAAGGUUUAUAGACAGGAUGCCACAUGUCACUUGCUUUUACUCUUUUUUCUUUUUGGUAAAUUCUUAUUACUCUCUCAAAGAUGUUGUGGGUGGAAGGCUAGGAAAGGAACACAUUUUUAGUUUUUUUGGUAAAUUAAUUGUUUUAUUGA